AAACGUAGGAGGCGAGCGUUAUCCGGAUUUACUGGGCGUAAAGCGCGUGCAGGCGGCCCGGCAAGUUGGCUGUGAAAGCCCCCGGCUCAACCGGGGGAGGUCGGUCAAAACUGCCGGUGCUAGAGGAUGGGAGAGGGGGAUGGAAUUCCGGGUGUAGUGGUGAAAUGCGUAGAGAUCCGGAGGAACACCAGUGGCGAAAGCGAUCUUCUGGCCCAUCACUGACGCUCAGACGCGAAAGCUAGGGGAGCGAACGGGAUUAGAGACCCCGGUAGUCCUAGCCGUAAACGAUGUAGACUAGGCGUGGGCGGGUUCAAAUCCGUCCGUGCCGCAGCCAACGCGAUAAGUCUACCGCCUGGGGACUACGGCCGCAAGGUUAAA
rnacentral:rRNA from 1 species